UGGAGGACCGAUUCAGAACUCGACACACGGAGUGAACCGGUAAUUUUAUCGGACGCUUGAACCAAAGUAAAUUGAUUGGAGAAUAUUUAAAAGGAAAUUGGUCCGAAGAAGCAGAGAGACUGCUGUUUGAACAACGACUACAGAUUAUUCAUCUUAAUACUACCGAGUUACACCCUGUUUCUUUUGGGAAUUUUGCUUCAUGGCUAUCCUCUACUUUUCUUUUCUUUAAAGAAUGGGUAGGCAUGGGGGCUUUUGGCAUCCUUUGUGCAGUGGGGAUCGCACUGUGCCUGUGGUUGGUGUGUCGUCUGAAACGUAAGUCACAUACGCAGAAGAUCAUGUUGAUGCAAGCCUUGGUGGCCAUUGAAAACGGCCAGCCUGCCGGUGCCUGGAUCUCCCUGCUAAACAAGUCCUAGUGGCUGCCCCUGCACAGGAUGGCCAUGAGCCAUUACACUCCUAGUGGGAGCCUCUGCUUGAAAUCAGCCCUUGCACCCCGCGCUAUAAGCAGCAUUACACUAUGGGAGGGUGAUUUCUGCCGCCCAUGACGAUAGCCCUUGAACAGCCAUGUCCCCUUGGGGGCAAGACUUGUACGGGCGAUCGUCGUGUGGUCUAAGGACAUAAAG